rnacentral:lncRNA from 1 species
GGCGCAAUUAGAUGAUUUUUAUUUUAUACUUGCCAAUGGAAAUUAAACAUAAAUCCAGUCUAACUUAUACAACACAGACAAAAGUCUCAAAAUAACAAAGAACACAUUUAGAUAGACUGAACAUAAUACUAGUAUAAUGCUGCUGCAUGAUGAAGAUGAUGGCUGUUUAACGUCCAGCGGCAAAUUAGUAGAAGCAGAAAUGCCAAUUUACAUGUCUAGUUUAACAUGGCCGUGGUUCGAAUCAACGACCUCCUAAACCCGAUGCGAAGACCUACCAACUAGGUCCUUCAGAGAUUUCGAGGUUCACGACCAUAUAUUCAUCAUUUCUUUAUAAUCCAUUGUUUUCUUUUCUUUAUUUUUUAGCACGCCAUUAUUCUUUCAUAAUUUUGUAAGCCUUUUUUCUCUUAUUAUUAUUAUUAUUAUUAUUUUCGCCCUUUUUAUUCUUUUCUUUAUUUUUGUUACCCUUAACUCUGAAAUGUUUGCCCAUUACUUUAUAGUUUGUUGAACUCCAUCUAGACCCUCGUGCAUAUUAUAUUAUAAAACAUCGAUACUAAAUGUAGUAAUUUACUGUACGGUUAGAAAAUUAUACUACUAGUACAUUUAUGAGGCCCC